rnacentral:rRNA from 1 species
GACGAACGCUGGCGGCGUGCUUAACACAUGCAAGUCGAACGGAAAGGCCUCUUUCGGGGGGUACUCGAGUGGCGAACGGGUGAGUAUCACGUGAGUAACCUCCCCUUGACUUUGGGAUAACUUCAGGAAACUGGGGCUAAUACCGGAUAUGAGCUCCUCCUGCAUGGUGUGGGUUGGAAAGUUUCGGCGGUUUGGGAUUGACUCUCGGCUUAUCUGCUUGUUGGUGGGGUAGUGGCUUACCCAGGCUUUUGCGGGUAGCCGGGCUGGGAGGGUGACCGGGCACAUUGGGACUGAGAAUAGGCCCAGAACCCUACGGGAGGCAACAGGGGGGAAUAAUGCACAAAGGGGGGAAGCCUGAUGCAAGAAAGCCGUGGGGGGGAUGGAGGGCUUCGGGUUGUAAAACGCUUUCGCUCAUGACGAAGCUUUGUGUGACGGUAGUGGGUAAAGAAGCACCGGCUAACUACGUG